UCUCCGUUGGUGAACCAGCGGAGGGAUCAUUACAGAGUUGCAAAACUCCCAAACCCUUGUGAACGUUACCUAUCCCGUUGCUUCGGCGGGCGGCCCGGGCCCCGCGCCCGGCGCCCCCCGGCCCCCCGUGGGCGCCCGCCGGAGGUAAACCAAACCCUUGAAUUGCAUGGCCUCUCUGAGUCUUCUGUACUGAAUAAGUCAAAACUUCCAACAACGGAUCUCUUGGUUCUG
rnacentral:misc_RNA from 1 species